GGUUAAUGCAAAUUCAUCAUACGAGGAAAUAAUUCAGUCAUUGACGGUUUUAUGACUGAACGGUUCGUGAGGUAUGAAUAACAUUAAUAAUGGCGAUAACACUCAAGAGGGCUUUCGUUUUUACCUUACAGUAUAUUUCAUUUUACAGUUGGUCAAACUGUGACGGACGUUGAAUUUUCUUGAAGAACCACCUAGACACGAGCUGAUGUCAGUGAAAGUCUAGCUGACAGAGAAAGCAAAAACAGUGAACAUUGAUGAAUGUGGAAUCAUGGCAUUAUACCAGUAAGACAAUUAUAGGUGCGUUGUGGUGAUGAACUUUACCUUAUAUUCUUAAAAAAAGAAAUAGGAUGUUGUACAGCUCAUUUAAGUUUAAACUAACAAAUCAAUAUAUAUCGAUGUUGAUGUAUUUAUCUCUGAAAUGAAGUGCUGUUUGUUCCUUAGCCUCCUGCAGGAUCAGUUCUGUGUGUUUAAAGACCAGGGGCCCGUUUCAAAAAGGAGGUUCAACCAACUCUGAGUUAAAACUUGAACUCUGAGUUGACUUGCCCUGAGAUGGGAAAGUUUUUGGUUUCAGAACAGCUGAAUUGAGUAGGCUGACUCUGAGUUAAGCGCAUGUACCACAGCUAUGAAAACCCAUGAUUAAUGGAGCUCCGAAAUUACGAUUCACCAGUAACAACAGUACCCGAGAAAAAGAUGUCUGCGUACUUCCAAGUCAAUAUGCAAGUUUAAUUCUUAAUCACUGUUAUAAUAUUAGAAGUGAAAACUGGCAGAACAGUAAGUUAUUGAACUAAUAUUCAUUUUCAUGGUAUUCCACAGGGAAAAAAAGAAUGUGGCGGGAGAUAAAAAUGGAGUAUAAAAACAAUUCAAUCAGGUAGCCUAAAGCUUUAAGCGUGAUGAGACAUGCACAAGCGAGUGAUGCAAGUAUGAAAUUUCCUGUGAAAAGCAUCCCGCUCUGUAAAAAAUAUAAACACUUAUAACAGGCUUACCAUAGUGAAUCAGGGUAAGACAAAAACAUGUUUUAAAAGAAGGAUUCAUGGUGUAUUGACAUUUAAAUUUUGUUAAUUUUAAACAAGAAAGUUACAUAGUGCAUCUUUAAGAAGCCCAUUGUUUGGAUUCCCUCUCAUUGUUAGGCACAUGAACAUGUACAAAUAAUCCAAAUGUGACCUAUUUGAGUUGCUGUUUGCAAGGUGAGUGACUAAUCACACUGAGUAAAGAAUAUGCCACCUUCAGGGAUGAUGCAACCACAUAACCAGGUUUCACAAUGAACACUUUUAUUUAUAGGAAUAUUCUGGGUUAAGUAAAAGUUAGGCUUUGUCAAGAGCAUCUGUGCCAUGAUGCCGUAUACCACAGAAAACCAUGUCAACUAGCGCCUUGGCGCUUUGACAGUUAUGCACUUACAAGGAAUGUCUAUGGUGCAAGCAUACAGCUGAUGCUCUCAAUAGAGCUAAACUUGUAUUUAACCUGGAAAAUUUUAGAAAACAUUUUAAUUAUUUGAUAAGUUUCAAAGUAAACCUGAAUGAAUGAUUGCAUUUUCUCAGCUUCUACCAGCAACCUACAUAUCUGAAUCUAAUUUCCUCCUCUUAAUUCCCUGAUGGCUAUGAAAUAUUUUCUGACAGAUAUGGCAGAAAUUUCCCCCACUUCUCUCUCUAGAUAUCUGAGCUGUGCUUUUACUGGAACGCCAGUUCUUGCGUUUAGGGUAGAGUCUAAUCUGGGCCUGGCUGUGAGCCAUUUCAUUCCCCUCUGACACGGACCUGUAUGAGUGUGUGUGUGGUAGGGAGUGGUGUAUGCAUACAGGACUCGCCCAUACCUGAGUGAGUGAUAGUGAAGUGUAAUAGAUUCUCUUUGUGAAGAACAGAGCUGCUAGAGAGCUGAACACUAGACAGAACUAUGAAUGAACCUAUGAAUACAGUGAGUGCAAAAUGCCAUUCAUUUUCUAAAGAGAGAAAUUGAUUUUAAACAAUGUAUAUACCUUAAAACAAACUACAUGAAAAUAAAACAUUACACCUUUUCCAAAAUAACUUUAAUCUUUUUUUUUUUUUUUUUUUUUUAAUGCGUGUGUAUCAAAUGAAUGAGAGAGGUAUUUUAAAUCCAUUGCCACUGAAAAUGUUGGUCACUGAUACGCUCUAUAGAAUGAUAAUGAAUGUACAGUCAUGUUUGGUGACUUCCCGUCUGUGUUUGUGCACUGAAGCUUUCUGGGCGAGUAGUAGGAGUGUAAACUUCAUUAGUUUUGUCCCUUCUUUGUUUCUGCUGAGUUUGCAGUGUUUCUAACAGGUGGCAGUGGAUCUCAUAUCGGUCUGUUAUUUUUCAAUUAAAAUCUGACGUGUGAAUCACACUAACAAAAAACAAACAUCUCUUCUCAUUACCUCCUACAUCAGCUUCUCUCUUUUUAACUCAUUCUGUCUAGCUCUCUUCUGUCUUUUUGUCUUAUUUGAGUAUAUCAACUUAUUUCUUUCUCUGAGACUUCCUCCCACUCUUUCA